rnacentral:rRNA from 1 species
UACGUAGGGGGCAAGCGUUGUCCGGAAUUACUGGGCGUAAAGGGCGCGUAGGCGGCGACCCAAGUCAGAUGUGAAAGUCCUGGGCUUAACCUGGGGACUGCAUUUGAUACUGGGUUGCUUGAAUUCGGGAGAGGAUAGCGGAAUUCCCAGUGUAGAGGUGAAAUUCGUAGAUAUUGGGAAGAACACCGGUGGCGAAGGCGGCUAUCUGGACCGACAUUGACGCUGAGGCGCGAAAGCGUGGGGAGCAAACAGG